CCCUCGAUAGCUCAGUUGGCAGAGCGAAAGACUUGUAGAUGUAUCAACGGUUUCUGGUUCAAAUCCGACUUGAAGGA